CUUGGUCAUUUAGAGGAAGUAAAAGUCGUAACAAGGUCUCCGUUGGUGAACCAGCGGAGGGAUCAUUACCGAGUUUACAACUCCCAAACCCCUGUGAACAUACCAAUUGUUGCCUCGGCGGAUCAGCCCGCUCCCGGUAAAACGGGACGGCCCGCCAGAGGACCCCUAAACUCUGUUUCUACAUGUAACUUCUGAGUAAAACCAUAAAUAAAUCAAAACUUUCAACAACGGAUCUCUUGGUUCUGGCAUCGAUGAAGAACGCAGCAAAAUGCGAUAAGUAAUGUGAAUUGCAGAAUUCAGUGAAUCAUCGAAUCUUUGAACGCACAUUGCGCCCGCCAGUAUUCUGGCGGGCAUGCCUGUUCGAGCGUCAUUUCAACCCUCAAGCCCCCGGGUUUGGUGUUGGGGAUCGGCGAGCCCUUGCGGCAAGCCGGCCCCGAAAUCUAGUGGCGGUCUCGCUGCAGCCUCCAUUGCGUAGUAGCUAACACCUCGCAACUGGAACGCGGCGCGGCCAAGCCGUUAAACCCCCAACUUCUGAAUGUUGACCUCGGAUCAGGUAGGAAUACCCGCUGAACUUAAGCAUAUCAAUAAGCGGAGGA
rnacentral:rRNA from 1 species